GGGGGCGUUAUUGGUUUCGACGGGGAGCAUUGGUCGAAAUGUAAAGCAUGUGGCAUGCCCUUUGCCUUAGUAAGGACAACGCGAAUAAACGCAAACAAUAACACCGUUCGUAUGGACACUGCAAGCUACGCUUGCGCUGCCUAGUCGGACAAAACAAACGGUCGAACAGAUUUUGACCAAAUCUUCUGAAAUGUUCGUCAGCAUGCAGUAAGGUUUCAAAAUUAUUGACGCUCUUUAGUCAAGAUUGCCUUGCCUUGACUAUACCAAAAAGGCUCAGCCAAUAAAAUUUUGUCUAUGCAAAGAUUAUUGGUGAAAGUUUUGGCAUAGACUAAACAUGUAGAAAAGUUUCGCACAAGUUUUUCGGAAGCGGGUUCAAAUCCCGCCGUCUCCACCA
rnacentral:tmRNA from 1 species